rnacentral:rRNA from 1 species
UACGUAGGGGGCAAGCGUUGUCCGGAAUUAUUGGGCGUAAAGAGCGUGUAGGCGGUCCGGUAAGUCGGCUGUGAAAGUCCAGGGCUCAACCCUGGAAUGCCGGUGGAAACUGUCGAGCUAGAGUCCGGAAGAGGCGAGUGGAAUUCCUGGUGUAGCGGUGAAAUGCGCAGAUAUCAGGAGGAACACCAAUGGCGAAGGCAGCUCGCUGGGACGGUACUGACGCUGAGACGCGAAAGCGUGGGGAGCAAACAGG